rnacentral:rRNA from 1 species
CUUAGUAACUUGUAUAUUUCCUAUUCGGUCACGCGGAUUGAUCGCCGUGACCGGUGCAGAGGAAAAUAAGGGAUAUGUAGCUUCCCCGUAGCUUCCAUGUCCGCCCUCUUUCAGACUUGGGAUCGGGGUUCGGGGCUAGGUGUCGGGGGUGCGGGGAGCGAGGAGGGAGGGAGUAGGCGGCGGCGCGAGGGAGGGUGGAGGAGGAGGAGGAGGAGGAAGACGCAGGAUCCUCAGGGUCGGCUGCUGACGACGAGGAGGUGGCGGAGCGGAGAAGGAGGAGGAGCGGCAGGGUAGCGAGCGCGCGUCCGGCAGCACCGGUGCGCGAAGUGGCCCGCUUGGGCUAGAGGUGACGGACGAGGCCCAAGCGCGCCCUGCCCGAGGGGGCGGAGGAGGAGGAGCGCCGCCUCCUGCUGCGGAGACCUCACUUCCUCCCACGGGUUUGGUACCAGCUCGACUGCCAACCCCGGCCCAGUUCCGACGACAACCGCCGGACCUACGUCCGCUACCACCGCCGGUCGCCCCCAGACCGCCCGCACCGCCGGCUGGCCAGGUCGUCGCUGGAACUACCUCCUCUUCCCUAGACCUCCCGUACCGCCGCCGAUCUUCCCGUCGUCGUCGGUCUCCCCGCAGUUGGCCAGGUCGUCGCUGGAACUGCCUCCUCUUCCCGGUCCGUCCUAAGCACGGGGACGUGGAAGUCCCUUUCUCGAAGAAGGACCUAGUGGUUUGACAUCGUCUAGUACACUACAAUUCGUACUCCUUUGACGCCUUCUCCUCUCACUACUACUGUGUAUACGACUGAAGAUGAUGACGGUGAGUUCCCGGCGCUUGUCUGAUGAACUGCUGCUUUUUGUACUUUAUUAGCCCAACCGAAGUUAGGUUGGUCCGUUAGGUCGUAAGUACUGUAAAGACGAUUCCAGGGUAGACGUUGCGUUCCUGUUGAAAGACCAGUAGGGGUCACUUAAACAUCUACUUGUAGAGGUGUACUCUAAUGUACUCCAACACGACGAGUCCGGUUUGUCUCUUCUCUCCACCGUACAGUCGAUGAUGGUGGUCCCCUCGAGAUCGUCUCCGAAGUCCCCGGUUGGAACCCGGUUCAAGCAGUCGCUGUUGUUUGACGUGUUCCCCCUAUAGACGCAGAAGCUCGACUAGUUACCGCGCUCCUUACUCUUCUUCCGGUCCUGCUGCUACUGGCAGGUACAACAAUCCUCCUUGUUCAGGCUGCACAUCUAUACCCGUUCACCGCCGUCGACCUUCCCUUCGUCGUCGGACACCCCACAACUGGCCAGGUCGUCGCUGGAACUACCUCCUCUUCCCGCUCCGUCCUAAGCACGGGGACGUGGAGGUCCUGAUACGGUAACCGUGAAAGUUGUAGAUCGUCAUUCUCUUGACCGGGGUUAAUCAUGUACCGAGUAUUAAAUAAGUCCAUGAAGAUUCCAUUUGUAAGUAGAAGAUCGGUACAAGCAGUUUUAUACUACGUCUGAACACGGAUAACCCCAAUCAAGGAUGGAAUCAAGAAACAGAAUGACAGCACCCAACACCGAGUCACCUAAUACUUCGAUAAGAAUCCACGAACUUAAUAUAAAAGACGAUGUAAAAUCGGAAUUCAAGAAGCACGAACUUCGACAUACCAGAUCGAUACAAUUUUCCUAUUGUACGGUCACGGACCCACAAAUAUCAUCACAAACAAUGAGACUUUAGCUUAUAAGGCACACACAAUGACGAAAGCUAAUUUACAGAAAGGUAAACCAAAGUGAAACUAAUACAAAAACACGUUUAGGAAACAACCAACUCGAUAACCACUUAGAUCUACGAUACCUAUUACAGACUAAAGGGGUAGGACAUGAUGAAUGAUAUACCUCCGUUACCAAAUUAAACCAGAGCGAAACUAAGAUAAUGUUGAUUCCUGGCCAAGCCGUUAGGUGGCCGAGGAACUUUAGGAUCCUAGACAUCUCGUCGACAAACGAGUGAGAUAUAAAAAGUCAGUUACGUACGGCUCAGGUGAAGAUUGACUUAUACGGGACAAAAGAAACUUUAACUUAUUGCUACCAACUUUAAAUCAAAGCAAACCUGCUCGAUGGGGUUCAUAGUAGUUAAGUACUACCGAUUAAACAAAACUAAGAACUACUUAGCUAGGACCAGGACUAAAUUAUCAAAAAUACAAUAAAGAGCCGAAUAAACUCGAUAAUAACAAAGACAAAUUGUGUCUGUUAAUAUUGACGGGAAAAAAUAAGUCUUUUUACCAGAACUACAGACACCAAACCAAUUUGUAAAAGAGUCGUAUAGAUAUAAGCAGUCAGAUUGAGUGCAUUGUAAGUUAUAUUAAACAGGCUAGGUUUGAUUCACAACCAACAACGAUACCAAACACACGUCAGAUAAAAGAAACUAGAACCAGUAAUUUAUACACUGUUCUUUCUUUAAAGUUUUCCAAACUACUAGAUCUUACGAGUAUACCUCAAUAAACUUGGUCAAGAAAAUCAUAUAUAACUCUGGUCUACAUGGCCUUUUUAAAUUUUAUAUAGUUGUCAUCCUCAACUGGUUAUUACGACUUAACUAAGUCAGAAAUCCGGAAUACGUGUUAAAGGUGUUACAACUUGUAUUAUAUACGAAAUUACGAGGACACGUGACGAAAUUACGAAGAUGAACAAACAGACUAAAAACAACAACAAGUAAUUAAAGGACAGAAGUCCGACAUAUUUUUUUACAAGGAUGAUCCAUAAGACUGCAACUAAUAGAUUUUCUUUCUCGUUAAGAUUGUGGUUGCUUGCCUCAUCGAGUUUUUUAUUUGCUCACACAAGAUAGAAAUCACGGAUGGUCGCUCUCUCUCAGGAAAGACUUUUCGAAGGCCUGCUAUACUCGCGAUUUUUCGAGGUCGAACAACAACUGCGACAACCUGAACCAUUCGAACUACUUCGGCUCCAGGUAUUCUUUUUAUAAUAUGGCAAUAGGAUAUGGCCACCCGCAGCGACAUAUUGACUUUUGAAGGUGCGGCACUACUGAUAAAGGGUACAGGUUCGGAGCGGACUAUAUUAGUGUUGGAAGUGUUGGAAGUGCACAUUAGGUUUCACCGGACUUUAUUACCUCAGAACUUGGACCCGUUUUUUAUCAGCUAUCCCGACUAUAAUGACAAACUCAUAUAGUGUACUUUGACGAACUCAUGGAUGUCUUCUAGUUCUGGCCUUUAUACAAACCCUGACAUCAAGGUCCAUGGUACGGGUUACGUAAAAGAGAGGAAAGAAACAAAAAGAAUGGGUACAAAGAAUAAAAAGUACAAAAAGUAAAUGGGAGGACAAAAGGUCAAGAGAUGUGGUCUCAAGUUUUUCUCCCCAGAAGGUGUGGGUACGCAGGAACAAACCGUUCACUUUCUACUACUGACCCACCAGUGUGGUUGAAUGGUAUUUAAGAACACAAAGUUGAUGAGAAUCAUAAAGAUAACCUAAAUGGCAGGAGAAAUAACAAAAAAAGAGAACGUACCAAGGGUUACUAAUCGAACUGAGACAGUAUCCCUAGAAUUGAUCGGCCGCAACGACGAUACGUGAAUGAUUGUGGUACCUUUGACCUUAACGAGUCGGUGGAUCCUAAUUCUCCAUGCUGGAGAGAUCCGUUACUUCGCAUCAAGGGACAAUCGAUGGUUAGGUCUGACCUUUAUGUACGUACGUUUAGUAUUUUGUUUUGUCAUUAUUCUUUGGGAUACGUUAGUUCGAAGACAAGAAUAUCGUUAAUGUUAAAACUAUGGAGAUAAAGAAAUACAGUAGAACAACCCAAAGACAAAGAGAAGUAUAUCCUAUGACUAUACACUAAGAGUACACUAGGAAAACGACCUUCGAACGAUUAGAAUCCCCACGACGAUGACCACAUUUUUUACAAAAUAGCUUUCUUGAUUUCAUCAUCGAUUAGGUUCGUAACUUCUUCACUGCGUCUCCGAUGUGAUAUAACCGUACUUCAGUCUCGUCGCAAACUUCUGAUGUGUUCUAUCAUACCAUUGGUUAUCUCGGUAGAAAACAAAGCAUAGUUCGCUAGGUCAUAGAAACGGGAAAACCGCAACGAGAUUCGCUCUAUACAUAUUGGAAAUCUAAAGGUAAACACAUACUAUGACGUACAUGUGAAAUCCGGAGUAAUGACAGUUCGAACACUAGUGAACAAGAUAUAUACAUUAGUUGACGGGAAGAGUGGGCGUUUUCUUUGUGACGGCAACAUGAUUAUAAAAGUUUUCUGAUAAAUAUAUACAAAUGUGACCAAUCUCUUUU